AUUGAACGCUGGCGGCAGGCCUAACAAAUGCAAGUCGAACGAGUGGCGGACGGGUGAGUAAUGUAUGGGAAACUGCCUGAUGGAGGGGGAUAACUCCUGGAAACGGUAGCUAAUACCGCAUACCAUCAGAUGUGCCCCGAUGGGAUUAGCUUGUUGGGGGGGUUACGGCUCACCAAGGCGACGAUCCCUCACUGGUCUGAGAGGAGGACCAGCCACACUGGAACAGAGACACGGUCCAGACACCUACGGUAGGCAGUAGUGGCGAAUAUUGCACAAUGGGCGCAAGCCUGAUGCAGCCAUGCCGCGUGUAUGAAGAAGGCCUUCGGGUUGUAAAGUACUUUCAGCGGGGAGGCGUUACCCGCAGAAGAAGCACCGGCUAACUCCGUGCCAGCAGCCGCGGUAAUUG
rnacentral:rRNA from 1 species